UACGAGGGAUGCGAGCGUUGUUCGGAAUCACUGGGCGUAAAGAGAGCGUAGGCGGGGGAAUAAGUUUGGUGUUUAAAGCAAGGGCCUAACCCUUGUGUGGCACUGAAUACUGUUUCUCUUGAGUAGGGUAGGGGUUAUCGGAAUUCCUGGUGUAGCGGUGGAAUGCGUAGAUAUCAGGAAGAACACCAAUGGCGAAGGCAGAUAACUGGGAUCAUACUGACGCUGAGGCUCGAAAGUGCGGGGAGCAAACAGG
rnacentral:rRNA from 1 species